AAAAAUGGAAAACAAGUGGGUUUUUGGUUCAGAGUCGAUGUUACAUACUGUAUUUGUUUCUCUUAUUUGCUUGGUUUUCUUUUCUUAUUUUCUUUUCUUCACCGAAUGCCCUUUUUCGUGUUUCUUUCUGAAUCUUCGAGUUAUAAAUUUUUCUCUUUUUUUUUUCUUUCUCUCGAUUCAUCAUUUUUUUUUGUUCUCGCACUUUCUUGGGCUUUUGGUAGAUUUUGGGGUUUUUACCCCCAAACUUAGCUUUUCAACACAGUUUGAAUGCAUUAACAUGACUCUGAACAGGGUAAGAAAGUGUUUUGGCCAAGGGGUACAUUUAUGGGGUUUAAACAAA
rnacentral:lncRNA from 1 species